CGGCAGCCGGCCGCGAGGCCCCAUUGGCUGCGGCAACAUUCUAAAUUCCACGAGGGCACGCCCACCCCAGCGCACACGUCGGAAUCGUAUAUCUACCUCAGCAUUUUUCAAAACAGCUGGGCAAACUCAUUGAUGGUAUCAUGACUAUCAUUAAGGGAGAAAAAGAGUAAGAAGGGAAAAGAAAAGAAAGAGCAGAGCAUGGAAAAUAUCACAGUGCAUUUCACAUGGUAAAGGAAGUUAGAUAUUGCUGUCCUUGGGGUGCUACACACAUAUUACUUACUUACCUGGAUGGAUUCUUUUAACUUUUGAUUUUUGAA